GACGAACGCUGGCGGCGUGCUUAACACAUGCAAGUCGAACGGAAAGGCCCUGCUUUUGUGGGGUGCUCGAGUGGCGAACGGGUGAGUAACACGUGAGUAACCUGCCCUUGACUUUGGGAUAACUUCAGGAAACUGGGGCUAAUACCGGAUAGGAGCUCCUGCUGCAUGGUGGGGGUUGGAAAGUUUCGGCGGUUGGGGAUGGACUCGCGGCUUAUCAGCUUGUUGGUGGGGUAGUGGCUUACCAAGGCUUUGACGGGUAGCCGGCCUGAGAGGGUGGCCAGCCACAUUGGGACUGAGAUACGGCGCAGACUCCUACGGGAGGCAGCAGUGGGGAAUAUUGCACAAUGGGCGGAAGCCUGAUGCAGCAACGCCGCGUGCGGGAUGACGGCCUUCGGGUUGUAAACCGCUUUCGCCUGUGACGAAGCGUGAGUGACGGUAAUGGGUAAAGAAGCACCGGCUAACUACGUG
rnacentral:rRNA from 1 species